rnacentral:rRNA from 1 species
GAUGAACGCUGGCGGCGUGCCUAAUACAUGCAAGUCGAGCGAACAGAUAAGGAGCUUGCUCCUUUGACGUUAGCGGCGGACGGGUGAGUAACACGUGGGUAACCUACCUAUAAGACUGGGAUAACUUCGGGAAACCGGAGCUAAUACCGGAUAAUAUUUCGAACCGCAUGGUUCGAUAGUGAAAGAUGGUUUUGCUAUCACUUAUAGAUGGACCCGCGCCGUAUUAGCUAGUUGGUAAGGUAACGGCUUACCAAGGCGACGAUACGUAGCCGACCUGAGAGGGUGAUCGGCCACACUGGAACUGAGACACGGUCCAGACUCCUACGGGAGGCAGCAGUAGGGAAUCUUCCGCAAUGGGCGAAAGCCUGACGGAGCAACGCCGCGUGAGUGAUGAAGGUCUUCGGAUCGUAAAACUCUGUUAUUAGGGAAGAACAUACGUGUAAGUAACUGUGCACGUCUUGACGGUACCUAAUCAGAAAGCCACGGCUAAUUACGUG